AGCGAACGCUGGCGGCAGGCUUAACACAUGCAAGUCGAGCGGGCACUUUCGGGUGUCAGCGGCGGACGGGUGAGUAACGCGUGGGAACGUGCCCUCUGGUUCGGAAUAACUCAGGGAAACUUGAGCUAAUACCGGAUACGCCCUUUUGGGGAAAGGCUUGCUGCCGGAGGAUCGGCCCGCGUCUUAUUAGCUAGUUGGUGAGGUAACGGCUCACCAAGGCGACGAUCAGUAGCUGGUCUGAGAGGAUGAUCAGCCACACUGGGACUGAGACACGGCCCAGACUCCUACGGGAGGCAGCAGUGGGGAAUAUUGGACAAUGGGCGCAAGCCUGAUCCAGCCAUGCCGCGUGAGUGAUGAAGGCCUUAGGGUUGUAAAGCUCUUUUAUCCGGGACGAUAAUGACGGUACCGGAGGAAUAAGCCCCGGCUAACUUCGUG
rnacentral:rRNA from 1 species